UGCGGUUAAAACGUUCGUAGUUGAAUUUGUGUCCCACACGGGUAAUUGGCCCACUUACGGGUUCUUAUUACUUGCCGGCUUGCUGGCUUUAGUGUGCGGACGUUUUACCGGUGAGGGAAACGGUGUAGUUUCGGCUGCAAUACGCCCCUUAUUUAUUUCAUAAACCCGUCUUGGUGCUUUUAAUCGAGUGCCAAUGUGGGCCGGUACUAUUACUUUGAACAAAUUAGAGUGCUUAAAGCAGGCUAAAUUUAAUGAAAGUUAAAACGCCUGAAUAUAUUUUGCAUGGAAUAAUGGAAUAGGACCUCUGUUCUACUUUCAUUGGUUUUUAGACCAAGAGGUAAUGAUUAAUAGAAGCAGUUGGGGGCAUUAGUAUUACGAGGCGAGAGGUGAAAUUCGUAGACCCUCGUAAGACUAACUUAAGCGAAAGCAUUUGCCAAGGAUGUUUUCAUUAAUCAAGAACGAAAGUUAGAGGAUCGAAGGCGAUCAGAUACCGCCCUAGUUCUAACCAUAAACGAUGCCAGCUAGCAAUUGUAUGUAGCUACUAAUUUUGGUUCAUACAGUCGCUUUCCGGGAAACCAAAGCUUUUGGGCUCCGGGGGAAGUAUGGUUGCAAAGCUGAAACUUAAAGGA
rnacentral:rRNA from 1 species